UACGAAGGGGGCUAGCGUUGCUCGGAAUCACUGGGCGUAAAGGGUGCGUAGGCGGGUCUUAAGUCAGGGGUGAAAUCCUGGAGCUCAACUCCAGAACUGCCUUUGAUACUGAAGAUCUUGAGUUCGGGAGAGGUGAGUGGAACUGCGAGUGUAGAGGUGAAAAUUCGUAGAUAUUCGCAAGAACACCAGUGGCGAAGGCGGCUCACUGGCCCGAUACUGACGCUGAGGAGCGAAAGCGUGGGGAGCGAACGAG
rnacentral:rRNA from 1 species